rnacentral:snRNA from 1 species
UCCGGGCUAGAAGCGACGC